GAUUUGAGGCUGAAGAUUUUCUGAGGUUCAGAGAUUCAGUCUAUUAUCAAGACAGGAGCAUGACAGCUUCCAGGCAGGCAUGGCCCAGGAGAAGCGGAGAGUUCUACAUCUUGUUCCAAAGGAAAACAGAAGACUGACUCCCACAAGGAUAGGAGGAGGGUCUCAAAGCCCACUGCCACAGUGACACACUUCCUCCAACAAGGCCACACCUCCUAAUGGUGCAACUCCCUGGGCCAAGCAUAUUCAAACCACCACAGACGCAGUGACUUGCUUUUCCAUGGCCCUGAGGCACCAGUGACUCAUGCUUAGCACCUUCUCCAUCUGGUGAAAUUCUACCCAUCUCCCAAGUGCCAGCUCUGCCUGGAACUCUACAAAAGUGCCUACCUUGCAUGGCCUUUUUCCAGCUAGAAAACACUUUCACCUUGCAAUAAACAAAACCUUGGCAUCUUCUCUUAAUAUGCAAGGAACGUCUUCCUUUGGUCUUCUCUGAGUACCCAGCAUCAUCUACACAGGAGGGACUGAUUGGGAUGCCCUUUGCUUAUGUAUCUAAUGCUUAAAUGAGACAUCUGUGAGCAUCACUUGUCUGAGAAUGCAUCAUUGAUCAAUUCUAAACAAUAAUUUUUCUGUGUAAAG
rnacentral:lncRNA from 1 species